rnacentral:rRNA from 1 species
AUUGAACGCUGGCGGCAGGCUUAACACAUGCAAGUCGAACGGUAACAGGCCGCAAGGUGCUGACGAGUGGCGAACGGGUGAGUAAUGCAUCGGAACGUGCCCAGUCGUGGGGGAUAACGCAGCGAAAGCUGCGCUAAUACCGCAUACGAUCUGUGGAUGAAAGCGGGGGACCGAAAGGCCUCGCGCGAUUGGAGCGGCCGAUGUCAGAUUAGGUAGUUGGUGGGGUAAAGGCCGACCAAGCCAACGAUCUGUAGCUGGUCUGAGAGGACGACCAGCCACACUGGGACUGAGACACGGCCCAGACUCCUACGGGAGGCAGCAGUGGGGAAUUUUGGACAAUGGGCGCAAGCCUGAUCCAGCAAUGCCGCGUGCAGGAAGAAGGCCUUCGGGUUGUAAACUGCUUUUGUACGGAACGAAACGGCUCUGGUUAAUACCUGGGGCUAAUGACGGUACCGUAAGAAUAAGCACCGGCUAACUACGUGCCAGCCGCCGCAGUAAAAC